rnacentral:rRNA from 1 species
AUUGAACGCUAGCGGGAUGCCUUACACAUGCAAGUCGAACGGAGUGGCGAACGGGUGAGUAAUGUAUCGGCACGUGCCCAGUCGCGGGGGCUAACUACGCGAAAGCGUAGCUAAUACCGCAUACUAUUGGAGCGGCCGUUAUCGGAUUAGCUAGUUGGUGGGGUAACGGAUCACCAAGGCGAUGAUCCGUAGCUGGUUGGAGAGGAAGACCAGCCACACUGGGACGGAGACACGGCCCAGACCCCGACGGUGGGCAGCAGUGGGGAAUUUUGGACAAUGGGGGAAACCCUGAUCCAGCCAUCCCGAGUGUGCGAGGAAGGCCUUGGGGUUGUAAGGCACUUUUUGCAGGAAAGCGGUACCUGAAGAAUAAGCACCGGCUAACUACGUGCCAGCAGCCGCGGUAAUAC